AUUGAACGCUGGCGGCAGGCCUAACACAUGCAAGUCGAACGAGUGGCGGACGGGUGCGUAAUGCUUGGGAAUCUAGCUUAUGGAGGGGGAUAACUACGGGAAACUGUAGCUAAUACCGCGUACCAUAGUAUGAGCCUAUGUGGGAUUAGCUAGUUGGUGGGGUAAUGGCUCACCAAGGCGCCGCUCUCUCGCUGGUUUGAGAGGAGGAUCAGCCACACUGGGACUGAGACACGGCCCAGACGCCGACGGGAAGCAGCAGUGGGGAAUAUUGGACAAUGGGCGAAAGCAUGAUCCAGCAAUACCGCGUGUGUGAAGAAGGCCCUAGGGUUGUAAAGCACUUUUGUUAGGGAGAUGUUACCUAAAGAAUAAGCACCGGCUAACUCCGUGCCAGCAGCCGCGGUAAUAC
rnacentral:rRNA from 1 species